rnacentral:rRNA from 1 species
UGGGGAAUAUUGGACAAUGGGGGAAACCCUGAUCCAGCGACGCCGCGUGUGUGAGGAAGGCCUGCGGGUUGUAAAGCACUUUUAGUGGGGAUGAAAAGCUCAGGGCUAAUACCUCUGGGUCUUGACCUAACCCACAGAAAAAGCACCGGCUAACUCUGUGCCAGCAGCCGCGGUAAUACAGAGGGUGCAAGCGUUAAUCGGAAUUACUGGGCGUAAAGCGAACGUAGACGGUUGGAUAAGUCAGAUGUGAAAGCCCCGGGCUCAACCUGGGAAUGGCAUUUGAGACUGUGCAGCUAGGGUGCGGAAGAGGGAAGCGGAAUUUCCGGUGUAGCGGUGAAAUGCGUAGAUAUCGGAAGGAACACCAGUGGCGAAAGCGGCUUCCUGGUCCAGCACCGACGUUCAGGUUCGAAAGCAUGGGGAGCAAACAGGAUUAGAUACCCUGGUAGUCCAUGCCAUAAACGAUGAGGACUAGACGUUGAGGGGGUAAGCCUCCCAGUGUCGUAGCUAACGCGCUAAGUCCUCCGCCUGGGGAGUACGGCCGCAAGGUUG